CAUCACCGCAGGUCCAAUCAGAACCGCGCCCUGACGCUCCCGGCUCCCUGGGUCGGGGCUUGAACAGAGAAGAGAAAGCUCAUUGAAUACAUGCACGAACCUCCGAGGUAGAUGCUGUUGUUCGGGUCACUUCAGAGGAAAAAGAAAACCGAGACUUGGAGAAAUGAAGUCAUCAGGCCAAUAAGUGUCAGAGAUUCGAACUCAGGCCCACCCAGCUCCAUGCCUGUUUCAAAGUCACCAGGGGUCAGGUGAUGGCAUUUGUGAAGAAAUGGAACCCUGGGUCCUCAUGACUGCUGGACGCUCUCAUUUUUUCCCCUGCACUUCCUGACGAUCUUCCUGUACACCCAAGAGGCCUCAGUCCUGGUCCCCAAGAAGACCCCAGCUUGCAGGAAGAAGAGCUGGCCACAGGGGCACCCAGCCUGUGAAGUCAGGGUUGGGCUAGAGCAGGGGUGGGCAAACUUUUUGACU